UACGUAUGGUGCAAGCGUUAUCCGGAUUUACUGGGUGUAAAGGGAGCGCAGGCGGCACGGCAAGCCCGAUGUGAAAGCCCGCGGCCCAACCGCGGGACUGCAUUGGGAACUACCGGGCUGGAGUGCCGGAGAGGUAGGCGGAAUUCCUAGUGUAGCGGUGAAAUGCGUAGAUAUUAGGAGGAACACCAGUGGCGAAGGCGGCCUACUGGACGGUGACUGACGCUGAGGCUCGAAAGCGUGGGGAGCAAACAGG
rnacentral:rRNA from 1 species